UAUCAGGUAGGGUUGAUGGCUGAUCGGAGUUCGGCCGUUGCAAAGCCGGUAUGGAUGAAGCAAGCCGAGGAGGCCAAGCUGAAGAGCGAAGCCGAGAAAGCCGCGGCAGCUAAAGCUGCUUUCGAAGCGACCUUCAAGGAUUUGGAGAAGAGUCGCGAGAAGGGCACUGUUCAAUCUGACAGUGAAUCCGAGGAAUACGAGGAUUUGGCCAAUAAGCCUAUUGGACCUGUGGAUCCUUCCAAGUGCACGGCGGCGGGUACUGGCAUUGCCGGCGGAACAGCCUGUGCUCCUUCUUCGUUCACAGUGGUCACCAAGGAUUCAGAUGAGAGGAAGGUUUCAGGUGGGGGUGCACAAGUCAAGGUGAGGGUGACGCCAGGUUUGGGCGUUGGAGGGUCUGAUCAAGAAGGGAUUGUGAAGGAUAUGGGUGAUGGAACGUAUAACGUCACUUAUGUGGUGCCCAAGAGAGGGAAUUACAUGGUCAGUGUUGAAUGUAAUGGCAAGGCAAUCAUGGGUAGUCCAUUCCCUGUGUUUUUCAGUGCAGGUAUUCACCAUUACUCUGCCGCAAAAUUCUCUGCAUUAUUUAGAUAUAUAUGAUGCCAUGUGUGGUUUUGAAUUUCUCCUGAAGUCCUAGUUAACGGUUCUGAUCACAGUUCUAACAUAUAGGUAUUGUAAAAUUUAAAAUUUUGGUUACAAUUGGAUAGUGUCAUAAUACAGUAAAUGUCACCAAAUAUAAUUGGUACCACUUGAGUAUCAUUUGUAUUUUCAUAAAUCGAACAGCGGUGGUAUUUUUGUAUUAUUAAAAACAGCAUGGCAGUGAUAUUGUUGGAUCUUAACAUAUUUAAAUUUGAUGAGAGAAACUACAAGGAAAAUAAAAUUUCAAAACUAAAUCAGAGCCAAAAAGGACGGAAAAGAUUACACCUAUUUAAGUUCUCUAUCUCACUUUAUCCUUCUUCUUUCCCCCCAUUAAUGGAACAUAAUAAGUUUACUUUCCUUCUUGGUUGGGCUAUUCAGAAAGAGACAGAGUUGAACUUGUUAAUUUUCAAUUUUCAAUGCUUUGACAGUUUGGUUUGUUAUAUUGCAGGAAAUAGUAGUGGAGGGCUGCUCGGUUUAGCUCCGGCAUCUUCUUUUCCAAAUCUUGUUAAUCAAACUAUGCCAAACAUGCCGAACUACUCUGGGUCCGUUUCAGGGGCAUUCCCAGGAUUACUGGGAAUGAUUCCAGGGAUUGUUGCUGGAGCUUCUGGGGGUGCUAUUUUACCUGGAAUUGGGGCCUCACUAGGGGAAGUUUGCCGUGAUUAUCUUAAUGGGCGAUGUAUAAAAGUCGAUUGUAAGUUGAAUCACCCACCUCAUAAUUUGCUAAUGACUGCAUUAGCUGCAACGACCUCAAUGGGAACACUUAGCCAAGCUCCUAUGGCUCCGUCUGCUGCUGCAAUGGCUGCUGCACAGGCAAUAGUCGCUGCCCAAGCACUUCAAGCCCAUGCAGCUCAGGUGCAAGCUCAGUCAGUAAAAGAUUCCACUGGUAUGUUGUGGCGUGUUAAUUUUGUUUGUUGCUGUGUUUGGUAUUACAGAGCUCUUAUACAAGAAGUGCUCUCUGUUGGUGACUUUUUGUCAUGUUUGGUAGUUACCUUUUUUUUGUUCUUCUUGUUUUCCGUUUAAGUAUUUCUUGCUGUAUUCUUAUCAUCUAUGGUAACUUAAUCAGGCUCACCUGAAAAAGCUGGUAAGGAUGAUGCAUUGAAGAAAACUCUCCAAGUUAGCAAUCUGAGUCCACUUCUCACUGUUGAACAACUAAAACAACUCUUUGGCUUCUGUGGCACAGUUGUUGAAUGCACAAUUGCUGAUUCAAAGCAUUUUGCUUAUAUAGAAUAUUCAAAACCUGAAGAGGCAACUGCUGCUCUGGCGUUAAAUAACAUAGAUGUUGGUGGCCGGCCUUUGAAUGUUGAGAUGGCAAAAUCUCUUCCGUAAAAAUCAUCUGUUGUGAAUUCUUCCCUUGCUUCGUCAUCUCUUCCUUUGAUGAUGCAGCAAGCUGUGGCAAUGCAGCAGAUGCAAUUCCAGCAAGCUCUGAUUAUGCAACAAACCAUGACUGCACAGCAGGCUGCCAAUAAAGCCGCCACCAUGAAGUCUGCAACAGAGUUAGCGGCAGCCCGAGCUGCUGAAAUAAGUAAGAAACUGAAAGCCGAUGGACCUGAAAUUGAAGAGAAAGAAACAAAACAGAAAUCCAGGUCUGUUUACUUUGUCAAUUUUUCCUAGUGUUAUUGUUCUACUGGUGCAUCUUGACUAUUCAUUUUCAAUGUUUUUAUUGUUGCAACUUGCAACUAAUUCAUUUUAGGGUGCCCUACAUAAGUAUCAUGAACCCAUUAGAAUAAUGCAUGAAAUAGAUUUAUAAGUUUGGUAAAGGUGCCUAAGGUUUUUGUCAUUUUGAUGUUUUAGGGGGGAAAAAAUCAUAAUCUUGUCCCCAUUUCAAAAGUUCCCAUUCGUUGGUAUAUGUUUUACUAUACUUAAUAGUUUUGGGUUUAGUGUGAGUGCAAUGCAUCCUUUGCUUUUUUAUCUUUAUAUAUAUAUAUAUAUAUAUAUUACACAAUUGCCUUUGUAUUAUAGAAGCUUGCAGUUUUAUGUGCGAUAGCUGUGAGGUUGAGUAGCAUAUCUCUUUAUUGUGAAUAUGCAUUCUCAUCAAUCUUAAGGGUUCCCCCCACAAUGUGUGCAAUUAUUGUGCAUAGUGUUUUAAAAUUGUUGCAUGUUGAUCUGUCUUUAAAAUAUAUGGCUGAAUGGUUGUGGAACAAGGAAAGUUUAGAUUGUGGUGACAAAAUCUUGUUUUUAUAUUUUUUUUUUUUUUGUCCUUCAUUUUCAUGUGCUAACAAAGGUCUUUAAUUCAUUAAUUCAAUUUCAAUUUUCAGGUCUCCUUCUCCUCCUCGUGCAAGAUCUCGAUCAAAGUCAAGAUCUCCUGUUAGUUAUCGAAGAAGGAGGAGGUCUCGUUCCUACUCUCCUGCUCGCUACAAUAGGGGUCGUCGGUCCAGAUCACCAGUCAGGUCCCAUCAUUAUUCAAGCUAUGAAAGGGAUCGAAGGUCCUAUAGAGACAUCAGAGAACACAGUGAAAGAAGCAGAAGACAGGAUUCAGAUAGAUACCUUGAUCGGCAUUCAUUUGCUUCAAGAAGGAAUAGGAGUAGGAGCGUGAGCCCUCAUUCAAGGAAAUCACAUUGAACUGGAUCUAUUUCUCCAAAACAUCACAGAGAAAGUUCACCUCAUAGAGGAAGGAAAGAAUCACGUGCUGAUUCUGGAUCCCCAAGUCAUCGCAGAGGUAGUAAGUCAUCUCCCAAGAUUGAUAAAAUCAAACAAAAGAGCGUACCCUCUUAAUUUUAUUUCCAUGCUUUUUCGCGGUUUUAAUUCUCCAAAUCUUUGGAAUCUGAUUUUGAAUCUUGAUACCUUGACGUAAUGCCGUUUUUCAUCUCUUCCUUUCUGUAACAUUUUCGCAUUCGGCAUCAGAUUCAACCUGUUCCUAUAUAUUCUUUAUCCAGGAAGCCCUUUUAUUAUGCCACUUCUAUUUAUUUGUUUGUUUUAUGUUUUAACCUAGUUCUAGGGUUUUUCCUUUGAUAGUUUGUGUUAACGGGAGCUGAGUGUGCUUCAAUUGAGCACUUCAAUUGAAGAUUUCCUUCACCGAUUGGGCAUUUAUAGGAGAUUUGCUACUUCUUGUUUUCGGUAUCAGGUAGGGUUGAUGGCUGAUCGGAGUUCGGCCGUUGCAAAGCCGGUAUGGAUGAAGCAAGCCGAGGAGGCCAAGCUGAAGAGCGAAGCCGAGAAAGCCGCGGCAGCUAAAGCUGCUUUCGAAGCGACCUUCAAGGAUUUGGAGAAGAGUCGCGAGAAGGGCACUGUUCAAUCUGACAGUGAAUCCGAGGAAUACGAGGAUUUGGCCAAUAAGCCUAUUGGACCUGUGGAUCCUUCCAAGUGCACGGCGGCGGGUACUGGCAUUGCCGGCGGAACAGCCUGUGCUCCUUCUUCGUUCACAGUGGUCACCAAGGAUUCAGAUGAGAGGAAGGUUUCAGGUGGGGGUGCACAAGUCAAGGUGAGGGUGACGCC
rnacentral:lncRNA from 1 species